rnacentral:lncRNA from 1 species
UACUUCUUCCUAUUUGGUGAUUUUUUGAUGCAUUAAAAAGAGAAAAUUGUAUAAACCUAAUGACUGUUGACAAGUGUUCAGAGAGAGAAAAAAGAUCGAUAAUUAGCACAAUGGAAGGACUUCCAAAUCCACACUCUUUUGACGUUUUCUCACCUAAAAAGUAUUUAUUGCCGUUUUACUGGUUGAUUGGUUGUCAUUUUUCUUUCAGUUGUGUUUCUAUGCAGAAAUUGCAUGGAACUGAACAGCAAUUGCAUUACAAUUGAAAUUGUUUCUAAUAUUAUUCACUAAUGGGCAAAUCCAUUACUUUAGGUCCAUUUCAUAUACAAGGAAAUGCAGUUACUCCGAGGACAAUUCAGCUAGCCAAGAGUCCCUGUACAGUGAGCAAUCUUUUGGGUCUUCUCAUCACUGAAGAAUUUCUAUGUGGACACUAAAGUAAUAUUAAAACCACUCACUCUCACUGGUAAUUUACAGAAUACAGUUUUAAUAAACAGCAAUAUUGACAACAAUAGCAAUGAUGAAACCUCUGAGGUGAGAGAGAAUGUUAAUUUUAGCAAAGAGUGUCUUGUCAUCUGGACAAGGCUUACCAGUUCCUAGCCUCUAGUUUGUAUACAUUUAUGCAAUCAUUUUGAAUAUUUACUCCCUGUAUGCUGGUAGAAACAUCAGUGUCAGGACAUUACAUGUGAAGGAAUAAUUCAACAUUUAAGUUUUUAAGAGUAUAUUUUUUUCAGAUCUUGUUCCCCAAAGUUAAACAUUGUGGUAGAUUGAGACAUUCAUUAUUAAAUAUCUUACAGAAAACAAAGGAAAUCGUAACAUCUUAUUUACCAUCAUUAAGAGAAACCUGAAGGCCAAUUACUCAUUGAAUGGCAGGCAACACAAUUACAUUAUUGUAUAGAAUCCUCAGGACUGUAUUAAAAAAUUAUGAGAAGGAGUUUACACAGGUCAGCCUAUAAAACUACUCUAUAAUUUCUAUCUGUAAAUUGAAAUAGAAAAGAAAUAAGAUUGAAUUAAAUAUGAUAAUAGUAAAUUUCAUGUCUAAGUGUGCUAAACUAGCUGGCCUUUCCUAUUCUUGAAUAAAAUUAUUCUGGUUGCCAUAAUGCAUCCCGAAGCUUACCUAGAUGAGGAGAAAUUCGAAGUAUUCCAACGUCUGCCCUCAUGAAUAGAUCAAGCCUUGGGGGAAACCAGUGAUCUCUUGGCAACAGGACCAGAAGGUGGCAAGAAGAAAAGUUUAAGAAUUUCAAGUGGCUUGAUUGGACUCUUCUUCAUGGUCGCUGAGUCAAGGACCUUCUCUUCUAGUGAAUUUAAGGGUUUUGUGGAACACUAGUCUUUCUUUAUGAACUCUGUCCUCUUUCUCAUACAAUUUAUCUUUUCCACAUAUGGAUGGAAUAAAACUGCAGAAAAUAUAAUGAAAUGGAUAACCAUAUAUUUUUUAAAAUAGAAAUUUUUGAGUACUGACAUUCAAGGUUUUAAUUCUAGAUUUAAAAAUACAUUUUAUUUACACACUCAUCAGUUAAUGGAUGCUUGAAUUAUUUUCACUUUCAGUCUAUUAUGAAUAAUGCUGCUAUGAACGUUAAUGUAUAAGUAUUUGUGUGAACAAAUAGAACAGACAUGGUCAGUU